rnacentral:rRNA from 1 species
GACGAAGGAUCCAAGCGUUAUCCGGAUUCAUUGGGCUUAAAGGGUGCGUAGGCGGCCCGGUAAGUCAGUGGUGAAAUCUCCUUGCUUAACAAGGAAACUGCCAUUGAUACUGCUGGGCUUGAGUACAGAUGCGGUGGGCGGAAUAUGACAUGUAGUGGUGAAAUACAUAGAGAUGUCGUAGAACACCGAUUGCGAAGGCAGCUCACAAAACUGUAACUGACGCUGAGGCACGAAAGUGCGGGGAUCAAACAGG